UUAACUAAAGCCAAAUAGAGGCUUUUCAUUGUUAAUGAAAAAAUUGAAUCAUAUUCUAGUUAAA
rnacentral:tRNA from 4 species